CCCAAUGUAGUCAAUUUCGUCCAUACCGGCCGAAAUAUCGGCGAUAUUACCGGUAUCGGACACUGAGCGAUACGGAAAUCCCGAUAUCGCAAAACGAUUUUUGUGCCGAUAAUACCGUCCGAUACGGUAAAUACAGUACACCGAUAAUAUCGUAUUAUCGGCGAUAUUUGUCAUUUGCUGUAAUUUCUGAGGGCAUUUUCGGGAUUAUAAGAGAAGGGAAGAGAUUUAAUCCCUAAAUCCCAUCGAUACGCAAAGGGUAGAGAGUUGAUUUUACAAAUUUCGUUGCAGGUUCUUCUUCUCUAUUUUAAUGGCGAGAUUCAGUUGAUUCUAUCUUAACAAGAGGUCCAAGGGAAGAUACAUCUUAUAUGCAUAUCCAGCAAAGGCAAAGUCGCUGAAGAAACAUCAAAACAGUUCAUCUAGCAACUGGGUUGUGAUUAUGGAUUCUUCUAAUGCAUCAAAUUCAAAUACGGCAAACACUACCUGUGAUUUAUU